CUAGUUCUUUCCCAAAUCGAACCCUAGAGAGCCCUCCUCCCCCACCGUCGCCGCCGCCGACACUCCCUCUGCCCUCGACCGCGCCCUCCACCACCGACCCCUCUGCCCUCGAAUGCGCCUUCACCAUCGACCCCCUCCGCUGAUCUGUGCGACCUCCACCCAUGUCGAUGACGCCAGUGCGUAGAGGUCAACCUCGCCUCCCUCCACACGCCUUUGGUUUCGCUCCCUUUGGCACCGCCACAAGGACUGGUUGACGGGGCUGGUGCGUCGAGGUCGACACCGGCUUGCUUCCCACCAUGUCUCCCGCCACCCUGACGACGAGCACGGUGUCUGCUCCACACUACCCUAGUACAACAUGGUGCUCAGAUCUGUCAUGGAGGAAACGCGAUGCAGGUGUGAUUUUUCCAUACAAAGAAGCUCUCCUUUUCUGCUUGAUGAAAACUCACAAGAUGCUAUCGCGUUAUCUUCUAUCUUCUCCUUGCUGCACAUUUUCCCUACCUUCCACCGAGUCAGUACUUGGAUCCAAGUCUUUCUUAUUGCUACUUAUUUUUAUUUUGCUACUAAAUUGAUGCAGGUGCUACCAGUGAAAGGAUUGGAGAUUGGUUCUAGUAGUUGUAGGUUCGUUUGGAAUUCAUAAUGCUCAUGAUUUGCAAAGCCUAUCAGCCAGAACACGUUGAUGCAUAGCAUUAAAUGCUUGCCUAAAAGAGUCCACAACUCCUUGCGCUCAAGAAUUAUAUUGUCUGACCUCCUAAGGGUCGUUGAGGAGUUGGCAUAUAAUAGCAGCGACACAAACACUUAAAAAGAAAGUGCUAGUACAUUGGAUAAGAACAUUGGCACAUGUGACUGGGAGCCCAAAAGACUAGUAAUUUCCUGGACGGUGUUCUAUGGAAUCUUCACAUACAUGAAACUAAAAUUUAUAUCAUAGGUUGGAAAUGUUCCUGAAGACGGGUUAAGAUACCUUGUCGUAACCAUAUGCUUUGAGCUCACCUAGAAGACCUUACAAGCUUUACUCUUUGUUCUUGUUCCAUUCUGUACAACUUGGACGCCUUGAAACUGCAAAUACUAAAUUAUGAUGUAGAUCUUCACAUGUAAACAGUGAAUUGCAUAUGUUUGUAACAUUGUAAAUGUUUGAUGAACAGAAUUUAUAAUAUGAAUGUGAAGUACUUGUGCA